GACGAACGCUGGCGGCGUGCUUAACACAUGCAAGUCGUACGGUAAGGCCCUUUCGGGGGUACACGAGUGGCGAACGGGGGAGUAACACGUGAGUAACCUGCCCACAACUUUGGGAUAACGCUAGGAAAAUGGUGCUAAUACUGGAUAUGUUCUCCUGCUGCAUGGUGGGGGUUGGUAAGCUCCGGCGGUUGUGGAUGGACUCGCGGCCUAUCAGCUUGUUGGUGGGGUAGUGGCCUACCAAGGCGGCGACGGGUAGCCGGCCUGAGAGGGUGACCGGCCACAUUGGGACUGAGAUACGGCCCAGGCGCCGACGGGUGGCAGCAGUGGGGAAGAUUGCACAAGGGGCGCAAGCCUGAUGCAGCAACGCCUCGUGCGGGAUGACGGCCUUCGGGUUGUGAACCGCUUUCAGCAGGGACGAAGCUUUUUGUGACGGUACCUGCAGAAGAAGCACCGGCUAACUACGUG
rnacentral:rRNA from 1 species